AUACCAUGAUGAGGACACCUUCUGAGCAAUUCUUUAAAUCUUUCAUAAGCCUCGUGCCAACUCUCAUCUUCAAGUUGAUGGAAGGAAGUAAUCUCAUUACACAACUU
rnacentral:snoRNA from 1 species